GUGCUUGCUUUGGCAGCACAUAUACUAAAAUUGGAAUGAUACAGAGAAGAUUAGUAUGGCCCUUGCUCAAGGAUGAUCCAAGGAAUACAACGACAAUACAUAUUGUA